AUUGAACGCUAACGGCGUGCUUAACACAUGCAAGUCGAGCGGCAGCACAGUAGUAGCAAUACUAUGGGUGGCGAGCGGCGGACGGGUGAGUAAUACAUAGGAAUCUGCCUUGUAGUGGGGGAUAACCCGGGGAAACUCGGGCUAAUACCGCAUAAUCUUUACGAAGCAAAGUGGGGGACCGUAUGGCCUCACGCCAUAAGAUGAGCCUAUGUUGGAUUAGCUAGUGGGUAGGGUAAAGGCCUACCAAGGCGACGAUCCAUAGCUGGUCGGAGAGGAUGAUCAGCCACACUGGGACUGAGACACGGCCCAGACUCCUACGGGAGGCAGCAGUGGGGAAUAUUGGACAAUGGGCGAAAGCCUGAUCCAGCAACGCCGUGUGUGUGAAGAAGGCCUUCGGGUUGUAAAGCACUUUUAGCGGGGAAGAAAAGUUCAUGGUUAAUAACCAUGAAUGCUGACGUUACCCGCAGAAAAAGCACUGGCUAACUCUGUGCCAGCAGCCGCCGUAA
rnacentral:rRNA from 1 species